AAAUACCAAAGUUAUGUUAGUGUAGUUUUCUCAGUGGCCAAAUGGUUGCAACUAGGCAUUAUCACACCACAAGAUAAGUGUGUAACCGUUUUGAUUUUAUAGCCCUUUCAAGACUCUUUCUCACAUCGGGGCGUUCAAGAGCAUCCAUCACUGGGCAAAACUUUUCCUCCCACCACUCAAACUGCUUCCGCUGUGAAUGUUUGGCUGCAGCUUUUCUGAGGAGCCAAAAUCCCUCGCUGCCCCUUGUUUUUCCUCUGCAGUCAUGCUCGAGUGUCCCCCUCCCACUCGAACACCCAACAUGCCAAGCGUCCGUCUUGGCUCUGACAGGAGUGAGGCGCCAGGCGUCCAGGAAAGCGACAGUGCAGUCUCAUCAUACUGACUGGAAUUGAGGUUGGCCAACUCCCGACUCCCAUUAGCUCUUGGAGAUGUCAUUAGCCUGGGCGUUCACAUACUCUUUCCACUCUGCACUGUGAAAGUGUACAAGGUCACAUGGCGGGAGAGAGAGAAGGAACAAGUUUGUGUCGUGUCAGCAUUCUGGGCACAAAGCGACCACUUCCUGUUGUUUUAGCUAAGGUGACACAAGGAUUUGAAGGUGGAGGAACAAUUCCAAAAGCUGUGUUUGUGUAACUUCAUCACACACACACACGCACAAUACAGUUCAAGGAAUUAAAUGGCUAAGUUGCAUCUGGCAAAUUCCAACAAGCGCACAAUUAACUUGCAGGGUCACCCUCCUCAGAAAGGAGACUCCCCUUCCCCCUGACAUAAAGAAGGGGAGGCGGGGGCAACGGGAACACUGGGCUUCAGUGUGACAGUGAGAUGGCACGAGGGAGAAGAGGAGGAAAGACGAAGCCACCAAAUGCAGCGGCAGCUUCUACAUUCACAACAUAAAUGUGGAGUUGUCUCAACACCCGCAUCCCCCACGGGGACGACGUCCCUGAUCCGCGGGGUCCUGAUGUAUCAGCUUGAACCUUCAACUGUCAAAUGAACAGCGAUGAAUCCAUGGUAUUCGGCUUUUGAAUAGACAUUAUUUGCCUCUUGUGCUGAGCACCAACAGUGUGACUGAAUUAGCCUUUCUAAUCUGACACAAAUAUGUACUGAUGAACUCACCAAACACUUGGAUUUGUUAAAUAAACAAUCUGCUUGCCAGUGUUAUGCAACACUCACUUACAAAGUAACUGUGUGUUUGUGUGUGCGUGCAUGUGUUUGCGUGUGGG